UACGAAGGGGGCGAGCGUUGUUCGGAAUUACUGGGCGUAAAGGGCGCGUAGGCGGCCGAUCAAGUCAGAUGUGAAAGUCCUGGGCUUAACCUGGGGACUGCAUUUGAUACUGAUUGGCUUGAAUUCGGGAGAGGGAUGCAGAAUUCCAGGUGUAGCGGUGAAAUGCGUAGAUAUCUGGAGGAAUACCGGUGGCGAAGGCGGCAUCCUGGACCGACAUUGACGCUGAACGGCGAAAGCUAGGGGAGCAAACGGG
rnacentral:rRNA from 1 species